rnacentral:rRNA from 1 species
AACGAACGCUGGCGGCAGACCUAACACAUGCAAGUCGAGCGGACCCUUCGGGGUUAGCGGCGGACGGGUGAGUAACGCGUGGGAAUAUGCCCUUCUCUACGGAAUAGUCCUGGGAAACUGGGGGUAAUACCGUAUACGCCCUUUGGGGGAAAGAUUUAUCGGGGAAGGAUUAGCCCGCGUUGGAUUAGGUAGUUGGUGGGGUAAUGGCCUACCAAGCCGACGAUCCAUAGCUGGUUUGAGAGGAUGAUCAGCCACACUGGGACUGAGACACGGCCCAGACUCCUACGGGAGGCAGCAGUGGGGAAUCUUAGACAAUGGGGGCAACCCUGAUCUAGCCAUGCCGCGUGAGUGAUGAAGGCCUUAGGGUUGUAAAGCUCUUUCAGCUGGGAAGAUAAUGACGGUACCAGCAGAAGAAGCCCCGGCUAACUCCGUG